GUUAGUGUGGCGUAAUGGUUUGAGUGUUGGACUAUGACUCUAGAGACCAGGGUUCAAUUCUCAGCUCAGCCA